GAUGAACGCUGGCGGCGUGCCUAAUACAUGCAAGUCGAACGCUGGAAAUCUAGCCUGCUCGCUUGAAGGAGUGGCGAACGGGUGAGUAAUACAUAAGCAACCUACCCACGAAGACUGGGAUAAUCUCUGGAAACGGGGACUAAUACCGGAUAGGUAAUCGGAAGGCAUCUUCUGAUUAUUAAAGGUUAAAAACACUGGUGGAUGGGCUUAUGGCGCAUUAGUUAGUUGGUGAGGUAACGGCCCACCAAGACGAUGAUGCGUAGCCGGCCUGAGAGGGUGAACGGCCACAUUGGGACUGAGACACGGCCCAGACUCCUACGGGAGGCAGCAGUAGGGAAUUUUCGGCAAUGGGGGAAACCCUGACCGAGCAACGCCGCGUGAGUGAUGACGGCCUUCGGGUUGUAAAGCUCUGUUGUAAGGGAAGAACGGUAGAUAGAGAAUAUCUAAAUGACGGUACCUUACCAGAAAGCCACGGCUAACUACGUG
rnacentral:rRNA from 1 species